rnacentral:rRNA from 1 species
AAAGAAAAAAUUAUAUUAAUAAUAAAUUAUUAGUAUUGUAAAAGAAAUUUGAAAUAAUUUGAAAAAUUUAUAGUUAAAAAGAAAAUUUAAUUUAUUGUACCUUGUGUAUCAGGGUUUAUUAAAUAAAAUUUUUAUAUAAAAAUUUCUCGAAAAGAAAAGAUAUAAAAAUAUAUGAUAGUUAAUGUAUUAUAAUUAUUAUAAAUAUAUUUUUAGAAAUGAAAUGUUUUUCGUUUUUCUUAUAUCUAGUUUUUUAAGAAAUAAAUUUAAUUUAGCUAUUUUAUAUAAUAUUAAUUUAAUUUAUUAAAUUAAUAAUAUUUAAUAGUAGUAUUUAAUGGGAUGAGCUAUUAAAUAAAAUUUUAAAAAUUUUUAUUAUAUAAAGUAUUUAUAUGCUUAGAAAUAGCAAUUAUUUAAAAAUUUGUUAUAAUUUAUAUUUUUUAUAUAAUAUUUAUUUUAUUUUAAAUUUUUUAUUAAAAUAUUUUAUUUAAUUUAAAAAUAUAAUUAAUAAUGAUAAAAUUAGUAUAUUUAUUAUGUAAAAAUAAAUUAAAAUGAAAGGUUUAUUUAAAGAAUUCGGCAAAAGAAAAUUUUCGCCUGUUUAACAAAAACAUGUCUUUUUGAAUUUAAUUUAAAGUCUAAUCUGCCCACUGAUUGAUUUAAAGGGCCGCAGUAUAUUAACUGUGCAAAGGUAGCAUAAUCAUUAGUCUUUUAAUUGGAGGCUUGUAUGAAUGAUUGGACGAGAUAUUGACUGUUUCAAAUAAAUUUUUAUAGAAUUUUAUUUUUUAGUUAAAAAGCUAAAAUAAUUUUAAAAGACGAGAAGACCCUAUAGAUCUUUAUAUUUAUAAUAUUUUAUUUUAUAAGAAUUAAUUUAAAUAAUAUAUUAAAUAAUAUUUUGUUGGGGUGAUAUUGAAAUUUAAAAAACUUUCAAUUUUAAUAAAACAAAAAUUAUUGAAUUUUUUUUGAUCCUUUAUUAUUGAUAAAAAAUUCAAGUUACCUUAGGGAUAACAGCGUAAUUAUUUUGGAGAGUUCUUAUCGAUAAAAUAGAUUGCGACCUCGAUGUUGGAUUAAGAUUAAUUCUAGGCGUAGCAGUUUAGUAAAUUAAGUCUGUUCGACUUUUAAAUUCUUACAUGAUCUGAGUUCAAACCGGCGUAAGCCAGGUUGGUUUCUAUCUUUAAAUAAUUAUAAUGUUUUAGUACGAAAGGACCAAAUAUUAAAAAUAUUAAUUUUUUAAGUAUGAAUAAUAUUAAUUUUAUA